ensembl:lncRNA
GGUGUUUUGGUUUUAGUGGGUCAUAAUUACUCUGUUGGACAGAUCAAGCUUUGGGAAUGCAAAGCUCUGCUAGUAAUCCCAUGAGCUCUGGGUCCAACGGUGCACUAAAGGUGUGUGUGCUGCUGCUGCACUUCCAUUAAUUGCAGUUAGCAGAGUGAGGGCUGUUGUGAAGCCAUAGGCCAUGUUCCCUGCAGGAACACCCGUUCUGGCAGCGUGCUGCCUCAGGACACAACAGCAGACAUGAUCUGCACAUCAGAGUCCCUCUCCCCAUGCAGAAACAGCUCCUAGCACCAUGUUUGUUGUGAGCGAGUGCAGGUAAGAGGCUGUGGAGACCAGGACAGGGUGCUGGGUCAUCUACUCUAGCUCAUGCUUGCCUAGAAAGGUUGGACCAGAUGAUUCUUGAACUCCUUCCCAACCUGGUAUUCUCUAGUCCUGUGCUGCACCACUGGGCAGUUAGGGGCUAGGGAAGGAAUACAGCUUCCACCUCCUCCUGGGGAGCUUGUUCUGAAUAGGACAUGGUAGAUAGAGCUGAGUGACCUGAAAUCUUGCAAACUCAUGCAUAAUGCUGAAUUUCAUAUGUGCAUUUAUUCUGCUUGUAAACUAUUUUGCAGUUCCACACGUGCUUUUCCAUAUUUCAGUAUCAUGCGCAUGUUGUAACUAAUUUAUAUAAACAAAGCUAACAAGUUGGUGGAUUUUUGUGGAGGUGCAAGAACAGCCAACUGCUGUUUUGUUAAUCCUUGUGGUGCACUUCCUUUGCAGUAUUUUUUCUUUGUAUAUUAAUCGAGGCAGCAUAUAAGUAGCAUAAGUGCGCAUCUGUUAAAGGGCAGGUGUGACUUUAAGAAGUUAUCCCCAAAUACGAGAACUCCUAUUGCUAAAGAUACUAAUUUGUGGUAAUUCUUAAACCUUGUCAAAUACUCAGCAGGACAAUCCCUUGUUUGGGGAAUUUUGAAACAGCAGCCAGGAUAAUCAGAUUAGGGGCUAGGACAACUGAUAGGCAGGGCAAUGUUAUUUGACAGGAUUAGUAUGCCUGAGUAUUGCUGCUUAGUGGUUUUUGCCCAGAAACUCGUGUGUCUCCCUCAUACACCAUCAGUACACUCUGCAUUAGACACACCAUAAUAAUUUGUCAGUGUUAAUGGGUCAGUUGGGUUUGCUCUACAUCAAUCAAUGUUUCUCUCAUUGUUGGCUCUGGACAAAAAAUUGUAAUCCCUGGUACUUUGUAUGCCAAUGGGUGGAGCUGUUGGAUAUGAAUAUUAAGCAACUUGCAUGGUAUCUCAAAGGCUGAGUCAAUGUGCUGAAAGCAGGACACUCAGAGUAGUAGUCAGGUAACAGCAGAUGUUUUUAGUGUAAACCCACCUUUUCUCAUUUACUGUUUGUAUGUUUCUGGUGCACUGCUCAGUAACUUGUUGCUUAGGCCUGUGUUUCUGCUCCUCAGAAAACUGGAUGUAAGAAAACCAAAGCUGUUCUCCAGCUUAGGACAAGCGUGGUCACCAUGCUGCACAGAUCUUGCUGCUGAACUUUCCUCACACCCUGUCCUGGGGAGGCUUGAGCUCCUCUCACAAAAUAAAAAAGCCACAGGCGGUAGAUAUGGUCCGGAGGAGCCCAGCUCCCACUUCCCAUGCUUGGGAAGCAGGGAGAGGGAAGGUCUCGGUCACUGUAUGGCAGCCUGGCGCCUAUAAAAAAAUAAUCUGAAGUUCUUGAUGACAGAGAACUAAGGAAACCAAAGGUCACCUUUCUGGAAGAGGAUACCAGCAUGCCCUGUAGCCCUACCUGUGUACCUUCCCUGGCUGUGGGGCGGCUGGGAAUGUUUGGCUGGGACUUGGACUGGGAAGCACCUGGCAGCAGUCAUGGGGAUGGUGCACAGUGUCUGUGGAUUCGUUUCUAGUGUGAACACCAUGCCUCCAUGUCCUCCUCCUCCUGAAGGGACCACCCUAGGCACCACGCAUUUCUCCCAGACUCUGAGGAUGGCUCAGUCCUGCUGUGCGCUGCCUGCCUGUCUUGGCGCUUGUAAACUUUUAGAUCUCGCUCACUGGUGUUUGCUUUUAGAUUUGUGUCUUUGAUUUCAGGUCUUCAUGACAAACCAGGCCCCUGCCAUGGGGUGGGACUUUUCUUCUUUUUCCUAUGGACUAUUUCAUUGUUUUGGUAAAUGACCUGCAUCCCUACAGGAAAGGGGCCCGAGGACCUGCCCAGCUUCAGGAUGGGGAAGAGAAGACCACUGACCUCUGCUGGGUCCUAGCUCUGGAUGAAAUCUGCUUGCAAGAAGUGACAGAAACAAUCGUCAGUAGGACUUUCACUGACCCUGUCUGCACUUGCAAGCCCCUGCAAGCACCUCCAACCACUGCAAUCAUGUAUGUCUGCUACACAAUUGCUGGAGCGUGUUCUGUAUUAGCUCAGGAUCGAUUAAAGAAGAGUUUUCCGUACA